rnacentral:rRNA from 1 species
AGGUCCAGCCUGCCCAGUGACCAUGUUCAACGGCCGCGGUAUCCUAACCGUGCGAAGGUAGCGUAAUCACUUGUUCUUUAAAUGUGGACUAGUAUGAAUGGCACCACGAAGGUUAUACUGUCUCCUUUUUCUAAUCAGUGAAACUAAUCUUCCCGUGAAGAAGCGGGAAUAUAUUUAUAAGACGAGAAGACCCUAUGGAGCUUUAAACAACACAGCAAUUACCUACUAAACUAUUAAGUUUCUGAAUAUUAACACUUUUAAGUAAUCUGACUGUAAGUUUUUGGUUGGGGUGACCACGGAGCAUAACACAACCUCCAUGCUGAAAGAACUCUUUCUAAGCUAAGAACAACCCAUCUAAGCAUCAAUAUAUUGACAUUCAUUGACCCAAUUCAUUUGACCAACGAACCAAGUUACCCUAGGGAUAACAGCGCAAUCCGCUUCAAGAGCUCCUAUCGACAAGUGGGUUUACGACCUCGAUGUUGGAUCAGGGUAUCCCAGUGGUGCAGCCGCUACUAAAGGUUCGUUUGUUCAACGAUUAAAACCCU